rnacentral:lncRNA from 1 species
CCUCUUGCUGCUUCCUCUCUCUCCUCUUCUCAUCGCUCUCUUUCUCCUUGUGCGUGUUGGGAGGAAACCUCAAAGCCCUUACCGCCUCGUUAUGCAUGGUUUGAUCUUAGCUUCUCUGCCUGAUCAUACAGAUUGUAGUGCAGGUAGUUACGAAGCAAAAGGUUAAGAAGUGUUUCCUGCAUCCAAUACAAAUAUAUUAUUCAUUAAGUAGCAAACAAAACGUUUCAUAGCAAUGAGUGUAGGCUGCACAUACCUGACCCAACUCAUCAUGGCGAAGGGUUGCAGAAU